rnacentral:tRNA from 4 species
GGCGGUAUAGCUCAGUCGGUAGAGCAAUGGAAUCAUAAUCCAUGUGUCGUCGGUUCAAGUCCGGCUGCCGCUA